rnacentral:rRNA from 1 species
UACGGAGGGGGCUAGCGUUGUUCGGAAUUACUGGGCGUAAAGCGCACGUAGGCGGCUUUGUAAGUUAGAGGUGAAAGCCCAGGGCUCAACCCUGGAAGUGCAUUGGAUACUACGGAGCUGGAGGCCUGGAGAGGUAAGCGGAAUUCCCGGUGUAGAGGUGAAAUUCGUAGAUAUCGGGAGGAACACCAGUGGCGAAGGCGGCUUACUGGACAGGUCCUGACACUGAGACGCGAAAGCGUGGGUAGCAAACAGG